rnacentral:rRNA from 1 species
CUGCCUACGGGACGCAGCAGUGGGGAAUAUUGGGCAAUGGAGGAAACUCUGACCCAGCAAUGCCGCGUGAAUGAAGAAGGUCUUCGGAUUGUAAAGUUCUUUAGUCAGGGAAGAAGUCAAUGACGGUACCUGAAGAAUAAGCUCCGGCUAACUACGUGCCAGCAGCCGCGGUAAUACGUAGGGAGCAAGCGUUGUUCGGAAUGACUGGGCGUAAAGGGGGCGCAGACGGCGAUGCAAGCCAGGAGUGAAAGCCCGGGGCCCAACCCCGGGACUGCUCUUGGAACUGCGUGGC